CCUACGGGGGGCUGCAGUGGGGAAUAUUGGCCAAUGGGGGCAACCCUGAUCCAGCCAUGCCGCGUGUGUGAAGAAGGCCCUCGGGUUGUAAAGCACUUUCAGUGAGGAAGAACGCCUGGUGGUUAAUACCCAUCAGGAAAGACAUCACUCACAGAAGAAGCACCGGCUAACUCCGUGCCAGCAGCCGCGGUAAUACGGAGGGUGCGAGCGUUAAUCGGAAUUACUGGGCGUAAAGCGCGCGUAGGUGGCUUGAUAAGCCGGUUGUGAAAGCCCCGGGCUCAACCUGGGAACGGCAUCCGGAACUGUCAAGCUUGAGUGCAGGAGAGGAAGGUAGAAUUCCCGGUGUAGCGGUGAAAUGCGUAGAGAUCGGGAGGAAUACCAGUGGCGAAGGCGGCCUUCUGGACUGACACUGACACUGAGGUGCGAAAGCGUGGGUAGCAAACAGGAUUAGAUACCCUAGUAGUC
rnacentral:rRNA from 1 species